AGGCUGUGCGGAGGCUGACUGGUCCACAAAGCAAAAAGCAUUGGCAGGGGCACCGCUAGGAAUAUGGGGCCCCAUGAAAGACAUUGAUAUUGGGCCCCAAGCCCAAAAAGGGCCCUUAGAAUCUUCCUAACUUCCCCCCCAUUGCCUGAGCAUUGGUGAAAGAAGUCUGGACAGCUGACUGUGGAAGCCCAGCAGAAGAAGGCAGGUGGAGAGGAUUCAGCCUGGCUGAGGAGAGCAGCUGUGACUGCAGACCCACAGGUGAGAGCCUGACAGGCAGAGGACGAACGCCUAUCCUCCAUUCCUCCUCUAAGAGCGAGACGUCUGGAGGAGAUCAAGUCUGUUUCUGAAUCAUCUCUGGAAAGGUUUCCUGUUAUGCUUUAGCAUCACAUUAUAAGGCACGUUUCACUCACAUACUUUUAAACAAUAUAUAUCUCUGUUUUUAUCACAUUUGAAGACCACGACAUAGCAAGAUUUGAUGAAAUCCUAAUGGAUUCAUUAUUUUACUUUAAGGAGCAUAACAGUGAAGGACAAACUCUGCAAACCCUCAGCUCCAAACCUGCACUUUAAGUUUCCUCUUUCUGUCUGCUGUUAAGAGUGAGGAGACCUUCAAUCAUCCCGGGAAUCACUGCGGCACUGAGGAUUUAGUGAAGUUGAUAAGUAGAAAUGUGCAUUAAAUGAAGAAGCAGUCUGUGCAUAGAGAAUAUAUUAUAAUAUAACUGCAGGGACAUAAAUUAUUAUUUAGAGACAGGCUCUUUUUUCUAUUCUGCUUCUAGAGCUCAGUAACUGGUGAAUUAUAAAGCCUUUCUAUACUAAUAGGUAGUUUUUCAGCAGAAUGGGCUAAUAGACGAUGGAAUCAGAUUACGAUCUCUGACCGCCAUCAAAGAAAGCAAGUCUCUCUUGUGCUUUAAGCUGUGUCCAAAACCAGGAAUGACGAGGCAUUCAGCCGGUUAUACUCUAACAUUGUUUGCCCAUUUUGGGCUGAUUCUCCAGUCGUGCAAGAAUUUUUCGCUCUGGCCGACUUUCAGCCUGAUGGUGCGUGGUGUGGUGAUGAGGGGCGACCACCUCCCCAUCAGGAAUGGUAAGGUUGGGAGAAAAUCAAACAUGUUUGAAAUUCAUUCGGCCGUCGUAAGGUGGUCUUGAGCUAAUCGCUCAGUGGGCAAACAAGGAUUCUUCUUCUUCUUCUUCUCAGAGGAAAACCCAGAAUCAUA